ensembl:lncRNA
AACAAUGAAUGCUGUAAGUGUUGUGGAACUGCUCAUUGUGGUUUGGAGCUUCUCCGCUGUCUGUCAAGGUUAUGAUGAUUAUGUCAUAGUAAGCUGUCAGAAUGUGACUGGAUCUGUGGGGAAAGAAGUAACUCUCACCUGCAGCGUCUCUCUGCAGAUCACUGAAUGCUGCAUUAUAAAGUAUAAGUUUCAAUACCCUGAGAUCUUUACUGACUCUACAGUCUGUCAUCAAGAUUUUCCUGUGAACUCCUGUGAACAGAGAAACAGUUUCACAUGCCGCUACACUCCAAAUACAGUGAUGACAGAACAAUUUAGAUUCUUCAUGCAAACAAAGUGUGGAGUGAAAAGAAGAGGAUUUGCUGUGAACAUAACAGAACCCAUGAAAGGUGAAAUUGACACUGAAGCUCCUGGAAAGAAAGAAGAACCUGUUGUGGACAUAUCAGAAACAUCUGAACAGAAGAAACCGGAAGAUCGUGGAUUUAAGAUCGCUGUCAUCGCUGCUGUUAUAAGCUGUUUUAUCAUCGUCAUAAUGCCCAUCAUUUACAGAUUGACACAAAAACACACCAACCGGAACAGGACUCUUCUGAGUGUCAGACAUGAAGAAGAAACAACAGCAAUCAUAUAGAAAAAACAGAAAAUAUGAUAUAAUAGCAAUAACUAGUUUGUCUUAUCAUACAGUGCUCAUGAAAGACACAAGCUUUAUUUGAGCUCCAGCAAACUUCUCUACUAUCUGUUAAAAUUUAAACUACUAAACUUUAUAACUCCGAUUGCAAAACUCUGUUUCUGUUUUAUAUUGAUUUCUAUGAAAUAAUGAUAUAUUAUAGAUCUGUUUGAUCAGUGUAUUUAUAGUUCUUUUUCUGCACAUGCAGUUUAUAAAUAGUGUGAACAGUAAGGUUUGUACGUGUGUUUUACUGAUUUAAGAAGUAAGGAGCUCAAUAAAGACUUGUGAUAGGCUACUCUCUAAAGAUGA